UACACAAAAAUGCACAUGCUGUGAGCUCGAUGAGUAGGGCGGGACACGUGGUAUCCUGUCUGAAUAUGGGGGGACCAUCCUCCAAGGCUAAAUACUCCUGACUGACCGAUAGUGAACCAGUACCGUGAGGGAAAGGCGAAAAGAACCCCGGCGAGGGGAGUGAAAAAGAACCUGAAACCGUGUACGUACAAGCAGUGGGAGCCUCUUUAUGGGGUGACUGCGUACCUUUUGUAUAAUGGGUCAGCGACUUAUAUUCUGUAGCAAGGUUAACCGAAUAGGGGAGCCGAAGGGAAACCGAGUCUUAACUGGGCGUUAAGUUGCAGGGUAUAGACCCGAAACCCGGUGAUCUAGCCAUGGGCAGGUUGAAGGUUGGGUAACACUAACUGGAGGACCGAACCGACUAAUGUUGAAAAAUUAGCGGAUGACUUGUGGCUGGGGGUGAAAGGCCAAUCAAACCGGGAGAUAGCUGGUUCUCCCCGAAAGCUAUUUAGGUAGCGCCUCGUGAAUUCAUCUCCGGGGGUAGA
rnacentral:rRNA from 1 species